AGAUUGAACGCUGGCGGCAUGCCUUACACAUGCAAGUCGAACGGCAGCACGGGAGCAAUCCUGGUGGCGAGUGGCGAACGGGUGAGUAAUACAUCGGAACGUGCCCAGUUGUGGGGGAUAGCCCGGCGAAAGCCGGAUUAAUACCGCAUACGACCUAUGGGUGAAAGCGGGGGAUCGCAAGACCUCGCGCAAUUGGAGCGGCCGAUGUCGGAUUAGCUUGUUGGUGGGGUAAAAGCUCACCAAGGCUACGAUCCGUAGCUGGUCUGAGAGGACGACCAGCCACACUGGGACUGAGACACGGCCCAGACUCCUACGGGAGGCAGCAGUGGGGAAUUUUGGACAAUGGGCGCAAGCCUGAUCCAGCCAUGCCGCGUGCGGGAAGAGGGCCUUCGGUGUAAACCGUCUUUUGUCAGGGAAGAACGGUUCGAGCUUAAUACUUUGAACUAAUGACGUACUGAAGAAUAAGCACGCUAAC
rnacentral:rRNA from 1 species